GCUGAUUUCUCGUGUGAGUAACACCGUGACGUCGCAAGUUCGGACACGGGUCACAGACAGUAGACUUUGCCGAGUUUUCUUCGGCCGAUCGCCGGCUAAACGAUUUCUUAUGCCGCGACAUUGAACGCUUCGUUGUUGAAAAACCGCGUUACAAUUUUUUUUUCUUAUAUUCUCUGUCUUUUCUUUUAACAGAGUGCGCUUCCUUAUUUGACGAACUUAUACGAAGAACAAAUCUUGUGGCGCGAUUGAUUGCACAUAUAGAUAUAUCUUACGUACGGUGAACGAGGGAAUAUCGCAAAUUCCGUGACGGUACGGAUGGCAAAGGCAUUCUGGCGUAGCAAUUACCUGCAGGGCGAGGGAGUCAAGUAGCAAUAUCUGGACCUGUUAUCCAGUUCGGUUAUCCCGACUGGAAUGCUUUGUGUCGCCGGCAAUCUGCAUUUCUACCUGUUUGAAUGGAAGUCUAUGAGAUUCGCGGCAUGAUUUCAAAUGAAAUCGACUCUUUGUCCUCCGGCCGGAAAUUUCCAAUUCAAUAACGUGCUCAGGGAAACGCUGCAGAAACGACUGAUUGACUGAUAUCUACCCAGAAUUGGAUGGGACGCGAAAAAAUGGAGAAGUUUUUCUAUCCAUCGUCCAUCAUUGGAGAAACUUGAAUGCCUUACAUUUAGUCAAGAUUUUAGUUUUGACUUAUCUGAAUCUUAUUAAUGUUUUUCACGUUUAAGUAUCGUCUUAAAAUUUCAUAAAAUUUUAUAUAAAAUUUUAAGUUUUCAUCGUUUAGAAACAAGUAUUAAUAAAAUAUUUGAAAUAUUGAAUUUCAAAGAA